GGCUGUGGCGUGGCGGGAGAGCAAAGGAGGGGGUGCGGUCGGGUCGUAUUUCGAGGCGGGCAGACUCUACGGGUACGUCCGCAGAAGGGAGAAUUGCAAGUCUGCUCUCUUCCGACUCCGACGAGGUGCUGCAGAGGUGAAGGAAGUGGCCUGCUGACGGACCUCUCGCCGCCUGCCGUGAAAGUCUCUCAAAAGCACAGGAAACUUAACGGGCAGGAGUCCCAUGGUAUCACCAAGCAGAACAAAAGCCGUCAAUAUUUGUCUUUUGCCUAGCUGAGGACUGUGGUAUUGAUCUCCCAGUUCCUUUCUCCAGUUAUGAUGGGCCGAGGGCUGGAUCUCUGCCCUCCCACCAACACUUACUGUUACCAGUCACAGAAGAAGGAAGAGAACUACUGUAAAACAGUGCCUCCCACUCCUAAUCCCCACAGUUGGUCCAGAAGGAUACCAUGGUUGAUGAUACGGAAAACUGCCAAGAUCCAGGAGGGCCAGGACAGAUGCACCACCUCUGUCCCAAGCCCCCCAGAGGUCAUCCACAAGCGCGACCAAUGUCGUUUCUGUACCCCGGCCUGAACCCAGACUGAAAAGGGUCCAGAUAAUCACCCUUUUGAAUUCCAUUUAAAUUGUGUGAAAUUAUCUAGCAUUUUCAGUACUGACUGAUUUUGGAAAAAAAAUGUACCUUAUAUACCUGUGAGGUUCUUAUUCUGCUUGUUGGCACAGGUUUUCUUCUUGUUUCUUGAUGAGCAGGGUCCAGCAUUAUGUUUAAUACCCUAUAUACAAACGGCCUUGAAACUCUAAUUGAAUCUUCAGUAACAGCUUAGUGGAUUUGUAAAAAAUAUCUGCAGAAUUUGUUAACUUUUUGCUCUCUCUGGUGCUCUCAUUGACAGUUAUAACUUACAUAACUAGAGGACCUCACAAAAAAAU